CCCUUAGAUGUUCUGGGCGGCCCGCGCACUACAAUGGCGCUUUCAGCGAGUUCCUAUGCUGAAUUUUCCUGGGUAUUCUUGGAAGCGGCGUCUUGACUUGGGAUAGAUCCUUGUAAUUGUUGGUUUUGAACGAGGAAUUCCUUGUAAUCGCGGUUGAUCAGCUCGCGUUGAAUACGUCCCCGCCCUUUGUACACACCGCCCGUCGUUCCUACCGAUGAAUCGUCCGGUGAAGUUCACAGAGUGGCGGUUCGUGGAGUUGCUCGCGAAGUGAAAUGGACCUCACGAUUUAGAGGAAGGAGAAGUCGUAACA
rnacentral:rRNA from 1 species